rnacentral:rRNA from 1 species
AGUGAACGCUGGCGGUAGGCCUAACACAUGCAAGUCGAACGGCAGCACAGUAAGAGCUUGCUCUUACGGGUGGCGAGUGGCGGACGGUGAGGAAUACAUCGGAAUCUACUUUUUCGUGGGGGAUAACGUAGGGAAACUUACGCUAAUACCGCAUACGACCUACGGGUGAAAGCAGGGGAUCUUCGGACCUUGCGCGAUUGAAUGAGCCGAUGUCGGAUUAGCUAGUUGGCGGGGUAAAGGCCCACCAAGGCGACGAUCCGUAGCUGGUCUGAGAGGAUGAUCAGCCACACUGGAACUGAGACACGGUCCAGACUCCUACGGGAGGCAGCAGUGGGGAAUAUUGGACAAUGGGCGCAAGCCUGAUCCAGCCAUACCGCGUGGGUGAAGAAGGCCUUCGGGUUGUAAAGCCCUUUUGUUGGGAAAGAAAAGCAGCAGGUUAAUACCCCGCUGUUCUGACGGUACCCAAAGAAUAAGCACCGGCUAACUUCGUG